rnacentral:tRNA from 1 species
GGAGACAUCGCUCAGUGGUUAAGAGCACUGGCUGCUCUUCCAGAGGACCUAGGUUCAAUUCCCAGCAUCUACA